AAACAAGCGACGCCUCCCCUCGGCCNGCCCGGCGUCCGGCCUCGAAGCGGAGGGCUUGUCCUCGGCGCCUAUUGGUGUGCGGCAGAGGUGAAACGAGGACGGCGGAGGCGGUCCGGCGGCGCCGACACAGCGGGGCGAGCGGAGAUCGAAGAGCGGAACGUGGGCUCGCUCGCUGCCGACGAGGGAGGACGGCGGAGCUGUCGCUUGCCCAGCCGCACGCACCCAGCGCUGCCGCCGGGACGGGCGGGACGGGCGACGGCGCAGAGCCGAGGUAGAAGCGCCGCAAGCAGGCAGACGUGGNUUUUAAGAAGGACAUAUGUACUGAUGCUGUUCAGAAAGACAAUCAAGACAUGGAUUAUUAACGAGGUAAAUCUCAAAGGUCAUGAAGCAACUGGCAUUAUCUUUUUGUUUUGUUUUUAUAAACAAUGUAAAUAGUAUAUAUUGUAGAGAAGAGGAAGGGAAUACAGUUGACAGAACUAAGGAUCAUAGGUGGGGCACAGUGCAACAACAUAUAAAUGCAAAAUACAAGACCCAAAUAUCAAUAUGCCCAGUAUAAUACAUUUAAAUAUAAAAUCCAGAAAUGCAAAACCUUCAAUUGUAACUAAAGUAUUGACCAUUUCCCCUUGAAUGCCCUGUGCUCUUUCCUGGGAUGAAAAUCUGAAACAGCUAAAGCAGACAUANCUAACAAAACGCCUUCAGUGGUGACCAC
rnacentral:lncRNA from 1 species